GGAAGAUACUUGUGGGCAGAAAGCAUGCCAUUUCUGUAUUCUGUACUUCCCAAGGGUCGAAUGCAAGGCACCACACCAGUGUUUGCAGGAAGGGACUGAAGUAUGAAUGGCAUGCCAAGACCCUGGACAUGACCAGUGACUCUGUAAGCUGUAGGAGAACUCAAGCUGAACAGGAUUUCCUGAAGAGAUCUGUCUGGGAAGAACUGAAGCAGAGGCAUCUGGGAACCAGUCAACUAGCCCUUGGGAAUACCAACAUCAGGUA